AAUUGCCAAACAUUUCCAGCUAGUCUUCACGUCCUACAAAGCCAUAAAACUUAUGACAAACCAACAUCAGGUAUUUACCAACACUUAAGGGGAACUACAUUCGGUACUAGAGAUGGUUGACCCGUAAAGAUCCUGACGGACUUGUCCUUCCCUCUUCCCAAGCAUGCCUACACCUACGCAGCCCCUUGCCUUUUUAACACACUGCUGUUUAUUUGUCUGAAUGUAAUUCUGAAUACUGUGCCAAAGCAGUAGAGUACUGGCAGAUCAAAUGUGUGUACAUUUGUCAGCCAUGGGAAACUUCAUGGUGCAUAGUAGUAUAAAAGUGUAGGUAUUGAGAAAGGGCCUCUCUUUUCUGUUAUGUCAAUUUUAUCGCUGUCUUUGUGAACACGAAAAACCCAAAGCUGAAUAAAAGGUUCUUGUCUGUCCUCCCGGGGUUGUCGAAUGGCAUUUUUGGAAAAUGUACAAGCAGCACCAGAUAAGGCAGAUUGGUGGCAAGUAGACCAAAAGGGAAAAUUACAGCAUUAAAGUCUCCUGUACUGCACUGAAUGUUCCAGAUUGAUUAUGCUAUGUGUAACAGUUUUGAGUGGGAAUUUCUCCUUUAUCUCCUUUCUGCAUCUAAAACAAAAGCUGAUCUCUGUUUUAGCUAACGGCUCUGUAUUCUCGCUGGUGGAUUGUGUAGCCUCUGGAGUGCUAGAAGCCUCUAAACACAAUACCAGUUAAUUGGCUGUGUGCGCUAAUACUGUUACAAAGGCUAUUUUUACCUCACCAUGGUUUUGUUUGCGACAGUGUGGGUGAGAGUGUGGUUGUGUUUCCAAGUAUACAUGAAAGUAUGCUGACAAUCAACAGCUCAUGCACUUUCUCUUCAUCUUCCAUUCCCUCCAUCCUUUUUUCCCUCUGUGUGUGUGAUUGUGUUUGCGUGUGCGCA